rnacentral:lncRNA from 1 species
AUGAUACGCGGGGCCCAAGCCCACCAAAUAAAUAACAACCCAAGAGCAUGGAGAAGGGUAAAGUGGACAUUGCUACAUAAGGAGGGGUGUGCCUAUCAUAAAAGGGGGCGACAUUAGUGUUUACUUUUCCAUAGGCACAUANCAUAUUUUACAUGUGUUUAAUAANGCUNUCUAGAAGCCACCCACAUUUAGCACAUGGUUGAUUAGCUGGAAUGAGAUCCGUAAAGUGUGGAUCUGAUUUCUUCCCAUGCAUAGCCGAGAGGUUGAGCUAUAAAACCUCCUUGGCAUAGCUUGUAUCAAUCACUUUUGGAAUAAUAUUGUUGAAACUCUGCUGAAAUGAUUAGCAAGUUCCUCUCCAAGAGUCAUCUUCCUAGCUUAUCUUCCAUUGCAACUUUCUUCCAUUUCAUGGGAGCCUUCUGAGUUGUGAUUCAUUUCUCUAAGCUAACCUCCAUCUCCCUUCAUCAUAACUUCACUACUUCCGCUGCUUACCAUCCAAAAAUCUCCAGCAACUUCACAUUGCCGAGAGCCUCCAGAUCUGGCAUUGCUUCUGCAGUGUACUGUUCCAUUGGAGUGCUUCAACUGUGCUGCUUCAUUCAGCCUCUGAUCUCACGGAUCUACAAGCUACAUCAUGCCUUGAUGUAUCAAGUGGUAUUCAGAGCAUAGGUUCUAACUUGAACNGUGAGAUAAGUGGCUCCUUCUUUCAUUUCCAAACUGUCAUUCAAUUUCUGCUAUGUCUUGUUGUUUUUCUGAAUUCUGUUUCUGUUUCAGCAUCUAUGAUGUGUUUAGGCUUCUAUGUUUUGAGUUUUAUUGAUACCAGCUGUGUUUGCUUGAGUCUUUAUCAUUUUCAUUCGGUUUUCCUUACUGAUUUUGAGUCAUUUACAUGAUUUAACCAUCAUUCCAGUUUUGUUUGAAGUCAUGUCAGUUUGAUUGCUUUUACUGUCUUUGCAUCUGGUUUUUCAACCAAGUUUUACCAAAAUCAAAGUGUUGGAUGUGGCUACACCGAUUAAGAGCAGUGAAUUGAUAUGAGAUGAGCUCAGGUGUUUAAAUUUUGGCCAACCAAAACCAGAUCUGUUUCAGGUGUUGAAUUCUGUUUUUAAGAGAAUUGGCUGCAGCACGUUAAUAUCAUUUGGUAACUUCAGAGUUACUGUUUCAUUGAACAACAGCUGCUUGAAUUAAUACCUAAACCCUUAGUUUUGAUUUCCAAUUGGUUUUAAUAUUGAAAUGUCCAGUGGUAAAGCCUAAAUGCAGUAAACCGAUCUGCAUCUUAUCUUUGUUUAACAAAUUCUGCAUAAUUUGAGUUGGAUUGGUACUAGAUCAUUGCCAAUCAUUCUAAAAUUGAUUCUGCUGUUUUGAGCAACUCUCAAAUACCAUUUUCAACUCAUCCAUACUGUUUUCAACUCAGAACUAAAGCUAAUCUGCAUUUUGACCAUUGGAGUUGUGAAUUUGAGUGAAAAUUGGUACUGCACUAGGCAUAUUCUGUUAUAUGUUAUUUUGAUCCAUCAAAUCUGAUGCAACAAGUCUUAAUUCACUAUUGAAACAUGUUUGAAUCAUUGGCAUGAGUAUACAAGCAGUACUGUGCAUUUGGUAUAUAGUAAGGGUCAAUUUUACUGGUCAGAAUUGGUUGUGACCGAGAGCUCUGCCUCAAAGUUUUUACACUUGCAUUGAUUUUCUGUUUGAUUCAAUAAGAAUGGAUGUAGCAAAAGCCUUUGGUCCAUAAAAUAUCAAAAUAACAAUUCCAAAAGAGUUAUUAAAGCAUUAAAAGGCAGAAUAGGACCAGUGCAUCCUGUUUUCGAAAAUCUGAUCUGCACAUUGAGUUUUUGCUGUCAAAUUUAUGCAAGUUCAUUGAGACCUUUUAUCAAACAAUUUGGUCCAAUCUUAGAGCAUAGCUUAUUCGUGCUUAAUUCUGAGUGCUAGUCUUUUCUUGUGUUAUUAAUCUGUUCUAGAGCCAAUCCUAAGAUCAUUUUGAAGUGCCACCGUGAUUGAUAUCCAUUUAAUUGCUUGCUUUUUGAUUUUUGAACACUCUGCAC